UGGGGAAUUUUGGACAAUGGGGGAAACCCUGAUGCAGCAACGCCGCGUGAGUGAUGACGGCCUUCGGGUUGUAAAGCUCUGUCUUCAGGGACGAUAAUGACGGUACCUGAGGAGGAAGCCACGGCUAACUACGUGCCAGCAGCAGCGGUAAUACGUAGGUGGCAAGCGUUGUCCGGAUUUACUGGGAGUAAAGGGCGCGUAGGCGGUUUGCUUAGUCAGGCGUGAAAGCCCUGGGCUUAACCUGGGAUGUGCGCUUGAUACUGGCAGGCUUGAGUGUGUGAUAGGUUGGUGGAAUUCCCAGUGUAGAGGUGAAAUUCGUAGAUAUUGGGAAGAACACCGGUGGCGAAGGCUGCCAACUGGACCACAACUGACGCUGAGGCGCGAAAGCGUGGGGAGCAAACA
rnacentral:rRNA from 1 species